AGAGGGGAAAGUGAAUGGUGAAGGAUUGAAGGGGUCCCCUCUUCGGGUUCCCGGCCGCCCUAUUCACCCUCGUUCAUCCUCCCUUCCCGAAUCUCGCCCUCGAAGGCAGGAGCGGCCGGCGCCUUCUGCUGAGGACUAGGAGGAGAAGGAGGAAUCGCGCCGGGCGGAGCGUCAGGUCCCAUUUUCCUCCCCGGCGUCUUGAAUACAAAGAUUACGGUGCAGAAGGAAAUUGCACUCGCCUCCUCCGCCCCCCGGUACCCAACAAUGCACCAGCCGCCCGAGUCUACUGCCGCCGCCGCGGCCGCUGCAGAUAUUAGUGCUAGGAAGAUGGCGCACCCGGCAGUGUUCCCCAGAAGGGGCAGUGGUGGUGGCAGCGCCUCUGCUCUCAGUGCAGCAGGUACCGGCAUUGGCAGUAAUGCCACAGCUUCUGAGGAUUUUCCACCUCCGUCGCUGCUCCAGCAGCCACCUCCCGCAGCAUCUUCUACGUCGGGACCACAGCCUCCGCCUCCACAAAGCCUAAACCUUCUUUCGCAGGCUCAGCUGCAGGCACAGCCUCUUGCGCCAGGCGGAACUCAAAUGAAAAAGAAAAGUGGCUUCCAGAUAACUAGCGUUACGCCGGCCCAGGUCUCUGCCAGCAUCAGCUCUAACAACAGUAUAGCAGAGGACACUGAGAGCUAUGAUGACCUGGAUGAAUCUCACACGGAAGAUCUAUCCUCUUCCGAGAUCCUUGAUGUGUCACUCUCCAGGGCUACUGACUUAGGGGAGCCUGAACGUAGCUCUUCGGAAGAGACGCUAAAUAACUUCCAGGAAGCUGAGACACCUGGGGCAGUCUCUCCCAACCAGCCCCACCUUCCUCAGCCUCAUUUGCCUCACCUUCCACAGCAGAAUGUUGUGAUCAAUGGAAAUGCUCAUGCACACCACCUCCAUCACCACCAUCACAUCCAUCAUGGGCACCACCUCCAUCACGGGCACCACCAUACAUCCCAUACUGCUGUGGCCAGUACAUCCAUUCCUGGAGCACCACCCUCAAGCCCAGUAACCAGAAAACUCUAUACAACUGGAAGCUCUGACAGUGGUACACCAGCUGCAUCAUCUUCUGCUGUAUCAUCGGGUGGCUCACCUGCAUCUAUAAUGACUAAUGUCAGUGCCCCGAGUACUACUGGCAGUAUAGGUAUAAAUUCUGUUACUGGCACUAAUACAAUGAAUAAUAUUAACAUUACUGCUGUGGGUAGUUUUAGUCCUAAUGUGACCAGCAGCAUACUUGGUAAUGCUAAUAUACACGCAAGCAAUAUUCCUAGUGCUGCUAGUGUGAGUGUUGGGCCUGGAGUUAGCAGCGGUGUUAAUGUGAGUAUCUUGAGUGGCAUGGGCAAUGGUACUAUUUCUUCCUCUGCUGUUAACAGUGUUCUUAAUGCAGCUGCAGGAAUGUCUGUGGGAUCCGUGUCAAGUCAGCAGCAACAGCCCACAGUUAACACAUCAAGGUUCAGAGUUGUGAAGUUAGAUUCUAGUUCUGAACCCUUUAAAAAAGGUAGAUGGACUUGCACUGAGUUCUAUGAAAAAGAGAAUGUUGUACCUGCUGCAGAAGGUGUGGCGAUAAAUAAAGCAGUGGAAACUGUAAAACAAAACCCAGCAGAAGUGACUUCUGAGAGGGAGAGCACCAGUGGGAGUUCAGUGAGCAGUAGUGUCAGCACACUGAGUCACUACACAGAGAGUGUGGGAAGUGGAGAGAUGGGAGCCCCUGCUGUGUUGGUGCAGCAGCCACCGGCUCUUCACGGUGUGGCCCUUCAGCAGAUGGAUUUCAGUAGCACUGGUCCACAGAGUAUGUCAGCAGUUAGUAUACCACAGAGUAUUUCUCAGUCACAGAUCUCACAAGUACAAUUACCAUCUCAAGAACUGAGCUAUCAGCAAAAGCAAGGUCUUCAACCAGUACCUCUGCAAGCUACUAUCAAUGCUGCAACUGGUAUCCAGCCAUCACCUGUUAAUGUGGUUGGUGUAACUUCAGCUUUAGGUCAGCAGCCUUCCAUUUCCAGUUUGGCUCAACCCCAGCUGCCAUAUUCUCAGAUGUCUCCUCCAGUGCAAGCUCCCCUUCCAGGGACACCACCCCAGCAGUUACACUAUGGACAGCAACCGACUGUUUCUACACAGAUGGCCCCAGUCCAUGGCAAAUCAGUGAGUCAGAAUCCUCCUUCAGAGUACAUACAGCAGCUGCCAAUUCUUCAAACAGCAGUGUCCUCUGGACAGCCCAGUUCUGCAGGAGUGGGAGCAGGAACAACGGUGAUUCCUAUAGCUCAGCCACAGAGUAUCCAGCUGCCAGUGCAGCCCACAGCUGUCCAAGCACAACCUGUAGGGGCAACUGGCCAGCCUGUUGGCCAGGCUCAAACAGCAGUAUCAGCGGUACCUAGUGACAGUCAAGUUGCAAAUUUUGGUCAACAAGCAAACAUACCUACUGCAGUGCAGCAGCCCUCUACCCAAGUCACACCUUCAGUUAUUCAGCAAGGUGCUACUCCAUCUUCACAGAUAGUUCCACCUGCUCAAACUGUGAUUAUUCAUCAGGGAGUUCAAACUAGUGCUUCAAGCCUUCCUCAACAAUUGGUCAUGGCACCCCAAAGUACAUUGUUAACUGUACCUCCCCAGCCACAAGGAGCAGAAUCAGUAGCUCAAGGAGUUGUUUCACAGCAGUUGCCUGCAGUUAAUCCUUUGCCUUCUGCUAGUAGUAUUUCUGUUACCAAUCAGGUUAGUUCAGCUGGUCCUUCUGGAAUGCCUUCUGCCCCAACAAACUUGGUUCCACCACAGAAUAUAGCACAAACCCCUGCCACUCAAAAUAGUAAUUUGGUUCAAAGUGUUAGUCAACCUCCCUUGUUAGCAACUAAUAUAAAUUUGCCUUUGGCACAACAGAUACCACAAAGUUCCACCCAGUUCUCUGUACAAUCAUUAGCUCAGGCAUUUGGAAGCCAAAUCGAAGAUGCCAGGCACCCAGCGGAACCCUCUUUAGUUGGCUUACCUCAGCCUAUCAGUGGUGACAGUGGGGGAAUGUCAGCAGUUUCAGAUGGGAGUAGCAGCAGCCUAGCAGCCUCUACUUCUCUUUUCCCGUUGAAGGUGCUCCCGCUGACGACACCCCUGGUGGAUGGCGAAGAUGAGAGCUCUCUAUUUCAGUGCUUCUCUCCUACCAGAGGUGCAAGGAGUGAUCCUAGAACCACAGAUACAGCCAAGACCACGGAGAGCUUUUGACGUCAGGGGUCCACUUUCUCCACUGAACCCUUGGAGGCAGAAUAUCCAGCUUCUGGAGAGAGUGGGAAAGGAUAAUAAACAAAUUUCUUUCAACUGGUAAACAUCAUACUUCUUCAGCAAAAGGAACUCUUCUAACAGAGUCUUCAUGGAUGAUAUGUGUCCCACAUGCAGCACCUGCAGUUUGGAAGGCAGUGGUGAAUGGAGCCAUGCAAUGUAUCUAGAAGACACAAGGAUGAGAGAGCCACCUGAUCUUGUCAUUUACAAACUUUCAGAUUCACUCUGGCAUACUCUUGGUCUGGAAAUGGAAAGGCUCAAAUAAUGAAAUAAUUUUUUCAGAUGGGAAAUUUUAUAUGGCCAUGAAAUAUUCCUUUCUAUUCAGAAGACUGAAAUAGAGAAGCUUGAGAGACUCCCUUCUUUUAAAAAGCAGCUCUCUGUAUCUGUUUCACUUGAAAGAGAUUUGUGGGAUUGAAAAUCACCUAAAUGAAACAGGCAAACUUUUUUUUUUUCAUAGUGUAUAGGAGAUCCAAAAAACUUAAUGAAACUUUUAUUCCCAAUUAUUUUUAAUAAUAGGAUACACUCUUUGAGCUUAUCUUUUUUGGUCUUGAACCUUAUUCUUAUUUGUCAAAUCAACAAAUUCUAGUAUAGAAAUAGAAGAAACAUCUUUUGAGAUCAAAGCAGAUUUUGUUGGUCUUGUAAAGUAGUAAAUACCUGUUAAAGUUCAGUUAUUGUUCUGCAUUGAAGGCAUACUAAAAUUUGAAUGAUUCUAAAACAGGUAUUUUAUAGAGCAAAGACAAUUAGUAUUAGAAUAAGACUAUAUGUGAAUUAGUAUUGCAAAAUAAUUAUCCAAACUACCAUUUAAUAGAAGUAGUUAAUCAAAAUGUUUCUCUCUUGGUAUCAAUAAACUGGUCAGUUAAAAGCUAUUAAAGAGGUUUUUAAAAGUUACCUGAUGCUGCCAGUUUGUUUUAUUUGGUAUACAUUUUAAGAAGAGAAAUCCUAGAGUUAAUAUGGAGGCACAUAAAAUGUUUAAUAAACCUUUAAAGGUUUUAGAAACCACAGUUGCUAAAUUAUAGCCUGGCCUUUAGACUUUCUUGGCUAUCUAUUUAGACCUAUUUUUUUCCCUCUAAUUAGAAAUCAAAUUUUGUAUGUAUGGAACUUUAAAAGUAACUUUAAAAGAUCAAUGUGAACUAAAAUUUCUCUAGAGACCUUUGAAUUCCCAUACAACUUUUUAUGCUUGAUUUGUUUUUGUUAAAUGUUAGUAAGAUAGUUUUUAUAAAUGCAUAUAAAUUACCAAAUAACUAAGAAAGAACUCAGAGGAACUGAAAGUGAAAUUUGUUUGGAAAUUAAGUUAGUUGAACUCUGAACCAUGGUACAAAGCAGUUUAUGGCCUGUGAGAUUAUUAGCCUUUUAUUUCAGCUUUGAAGAUAAAAAGUGAUUUAAUCCCUUAAUCUCCUGCUUUGAUUAAAUUUUAGCUCUGUUCCUUAAAGUGUGCAAAAGAAAUGUAAGUGCAUUUCUAUUCACUUCUGCCACUAUAAGCUAUUUAACAGUGAAACUUCUUGUAUAUUUGUGUGAACCGAUUUGUUUAUUUAAGCUCUUAUUUGAUACAUUUUCUUUUCAGAUUUUUUAAUAUUUUGUGUCACAAUAUGCAAUCCUAUAUUUUUCAGUGUCUAUUUUCUGGCUAUUAAUAUAAGCUUUUUUUCUAGAAUGGCUAAUUAUGUAAUAUUUGUAUUAUGUGAUCAUUUGAAACUAAUAAAUAUUUUCUCCAUGAAAAAAA